GCCUGUAGGCAAUGCCACCUGAACACACCAGCCCUUAACUGAUCCCAGAAGCUAAGCAGGAUCAGACCUGGUUAGGACUUGGAUGGGAGACCAUCAUGUCCUCAAAGGUU
rnacentral:rRNA from 1 species